rnacentral:rRNA from 1 species
GACGAACGCUGGCGGCGUGCUUAACACAUGCAAGUCGAACGGAAAGGCCCUGCUUUUGUGGGGUGCUCGAGUGGCGAACGGGUGAGUAACACGUGAGUAACCUGCCCUUGACUUUGGGAUAACUUCAGGAAACUGGGGCUAAUACCGGAUAGGAGCUCCUGCUGCAUGGUGGGGGUUGGAACGUUUCGGCGGUUGGGGAUGGACUCGCGGCUUAUCAGCUUGUUGGUGGGGUAGUGGCUUACCAAGGCUUUGACGGGUAGCCGGCCUGAGAGGGUGACCGGCCACAUUGGGACUGAGAUACGGCCCAGACUCCUACGGGAGGCAGCAGUGGGGAAUAUUGCACAAUGGGCGGAAGCCUGAUGCAGCAACGCCGCGUGCGGGAUGACGGCCUUCGGGGUGUAAACCGCUUUCGCCUGUGACGAAGCGUGAGUGACGGUAAUGGGUAAAGAAGCACCGGCUAACUACGUG